GAUGAACGCUGGCGGCGUGCCUAAUACAUGCAAGUCGAGCGAACGGACGAGAAGCUUGCUUCUCUGAUGUUAGCGGCGGACGGGUGAGUAACACGUGGAUAACCUACCUAUAAGACUGGGAUAACUUCGGGAAACCGGAGCUAAUACCGGAUAAUAUUUUGAACCGCAUGGUUCAAAAGUGAAAGACGGUCUUGCUGUCACUUAUAGAUGGAUCCGCGCUGCAUUAGCUAGUUGGUAAGGUAACGGCUUACCAAGGCAACGAUGCAUAGCCGACCUGAGAGGGUGUUGGGCCCACCUGGAACGGAGCCCCGCCCAAGACCCCGAGGGGGGCAAGCAGAGGGAAUUCUCCCGGAAGGGGCGAAGGCCGGACGGAGCACCCCGGCGUGAGUGAUAAGGGUCUUGGGUUCGUAAAACUUUGUUUUGGGGAAAAAAAAUAUGUGUAAGUAACUGUGCACAUCUGGCCGGUCCCUAAUCAGAAAGCCACGGCUAACUCGGUC
rnacentral:rRNA from 1 species